rnacentral:rRNA from 1 species
GUGUCAGCAGCCGCGGUAAAACGUAGGAGACAAACGUUAUCCGGAGUUACUGGGCGUAAAGGGCGUGUAGGUGGUUGCGUAAGUCUGGCGUGAAAUAUCUCGGCUUAACCGAGGCAGGUCGUCGGAUACUGCGUAACUGGAGGACGGUAGAGGCGUGUGGAAUUCCGGGUGUAGUGGUGAAAUGCGUAGAGAUCCGGAGGAACACCAGUGGCGAAGGCGACACGCUGGGCCGUACCUGACACUGAUGCGCGACAGCAUGGGGAGCAAACAGGAUUAGAUACCCCGGUAGUCC